CCUACGGGUGGCAGCAGUGAGGAAUAUUGGUCAAUGGCCGGGAGGCUGAACCAGCCAAGUCGCGUGAGGGAUGACGGCCCUACGGGUUGUAAACCUCUUUUGUCAGGGAGCAAAGUGCGGGACGCGUCCCGCUUUGAGAGUACCUGAAGAAAAAGCAUCGGCUAACUCCGUGCCAGCAGCCGCGGUAAUACGGAGGAUGCGAGCGUUAUCCGGAUUUAUUGGGUUUAAAGGGUGCGCAGUGGGAUGAGCAAGUCAGCGGUAAAAUUGCGGGGCUCAACCUCGUACCGCCGUUGAAACUGUGUCUCUUGAGUGCGCGAGAGGUAGGCGGAAUGCGUGGUGUAGCGGUGAAAUGCAUAGAUAUCACGCAGAACUCCGAUCGCGAAGGCAGCGUACCGACGUGCAACUGACGCUCAUGCACGAAAGCGUGGGUAUCGAACAGGAUUAGAUACCCCAGUAGUC
rnacentral:rRNA from 1 species